AUUGACCCCUGCUGGGCUGGACUUGAGGUUCACGGCCACAUGGUUCCCUGUGCAGCGCCCCGUGGGUCCCAGCAGACACAGCACCAUAAUGGGAGACUUCUAGGCCGAGAGGGCAAAAGCUUCAAACAGCAGGCGGCAGCACCAGCUGUGUGGUGGCUGGGAGCUGGUCUAGCCUCCGCCUUCCUUCCAGAAGUCUCCCCAGCAUCCUCAACCAGGUCAGAUCCCCCAGCAUGACUCAACAUCCCUUCGACUUCCCUUCUGCAGCCCUGGCAGGAGCUGUGUUGCAGCGGUGCCUGUUGCAUGUGGAAGUCUCCCUUCAAGGUUUGCAUCAUGGAACUCACCUGGCCCAACCUCUCAGGGAGGAAAAUUCCAACCAGAGAGGUGCCCCAGGAGAAACUGAAGCUCUUCACCACGGUGGCUGUGGCUUUGUCAUGCUCAGCAGUUUCAGCUCCCACACUGCUUAGCCUCACUCGGACUCCGGGAUGCUGUGCAGGAAAUUUCCCAGUGGCUCCAGCCUCGGGAUCCUGCAACCUGAACACCUACUGGCUUCUUGGGGUCAUCCACCUUCUGCACCGAGAGGUUCUCAAGAGGCCGCUCCUGUACUCUGGGAUGCCUUCUCCUGUCUGCCUGCCCAAAUCCUCGCUGACCUUCAAGUUCCAGCGUCGGGAAGUGCCUGGCCGCAUUUCUUAAAGGUUUUACAAGGAUAGACAUCAUUUCCUCCAAAAGAACACAGAGGGAAUGUUGAGCGCUCCCUUUCCCUACUUCUCCUUCUCAUGAUUAAGCAGGCAUUGUGGCUGUUGAGAUUAAAGCCCCAUGCGGAGAUGCAGGGCACCAGGCUAGAUGGAGCCCAGGUCCCCAGGCAGCGGUGUGGAGAAGACUCAUCAUGUUCACCUGGCCCACCUAUCCAUUUGGACUUUUCAAUAAGAAAUAAAUCAGUUUUGA
rnacentral:lncRNA from 1 species